rnacentral:rRNA from 1 species
CAGGACGAACGCUGGCGGCGUGCUUCAUACAUGCAAGUCGAACGAGAAAUCUACUUCGGUAGAUGGAAAGUGGCGGACGGGUGAGUAAUAUGUAGAGAAUCUGCCCUAGAGAGGGGGACAACCGUUGGAAACGACAGCUAAUACCCCAUAUGAGCGUACCUGAAAUGGUAUUCUUGAAAACUCCGGUGCUCUGGGAUGAGUCUGCAUCUGAUUAGCUAGUUGGGGGUGUAAUGGACCACCAAGGCGACGAUCAGUAGCUGGUUUGAGAGGAUGAUCAGCCACAAUGGGACUGAGACACGGCCCAUACUCCUACGGGAGGCAGCAGUAGGGAAUUUUGCGCAAUGGGCGAAAGCCUGACGCAAGCAACGCCGCGUGAUCGAGACGCUUUUCGGAGUGUAAAGAUCUGUCACAGGGGACGAACGAUGACGGUACCCUGAGAGGAAGCACCGGCUAACUCCGUGCCAGCCGCAGC